GCCGUACUUAGCCCUAAAUGAAUAAAAUACAACUACAAACCACACCUAAAUCAAAACAUUUAUUACCUUAAUAGUAUAGGAGAUAGAAAUUUUUAUCGGCGCUAUAGAGAAAGUACCGUAAGGGAACAAUGAAAGAAUAUACCAAAGCAAUAAAUAGCAAAGAUUACCCCUUGUACCUUUUGCAUAAUGAUUUAACUAGACAUACCUUAGCAAAGAGAACUUAAGUUAAUGCCCCCGAAACCAGACGAGCUAUCUAUAAGCAGCUUUACAGAGCAAACUCAUCUAUGUGGCAAAAUAGUGAAAAGACUUGUAGAUAGAGGUGAAAAGCCUACCGAGCCUGGUGAUAGCUGGUUGUCCAAUAAAGAAUUUUAGUUCAAACUUAAGCCUACCCACAAAAAUACUAAUUCCACUGUAGACUUAAAAUAUAGUCUAAAGGGGGACAGCCCUUCAGACACAGGUUAAAACCUUCACUAGAGAGUAAGUACAUAAACUCACCAUAGUGGGCCUAAAAGCAGCCACCAAUAAAGAAAGCGUUCAAGCUCAACAAUUCAACCACCUUAAUCCCCAUAAUCUACACAAACUCCUAGUACUAAAAUUGGACCACUCUAUAAUCGUAUAGAGGAACUACUGUUAAUAUGAGUAACAAGAAUUUAAUUCUCCCCGCACAAGUGUAUAUCAGAACGAAUAAUCACUGAUAGUUAACGAACAUAAAGCGAUCUAAUAAACAAGCCCUUUAUCUAAUCUACGUUGACCCAACACAGGAGUGCCCCAGGGAAAGAUUAAAAGGAGUAAAAGGAACUCGGCAAACAUAAACCCCGCCUGUUUACCAAAAACAUCACCUCUAGCAUAUCUAGUAUUAGAGGCACUGCCUGCCCAGUGACAUACGUUUAACGGCCGCGGUAUCCUGACCGUGCAAAGGUAGCAUAAUCACUUGUUCUCUAAUUAAGGACUUGUAUGAAUGGCCACACGAGGGUUUUACUGUCUCUUUCUCCCAAUCAGUGAAAUUGACCUCCCCGUGAAGAGGCGGGGAUAUAACAAUAAGACGAGAAGACCCUAUGGAGCUUUAAUUAAUUAGCCUAAUAACAAGACAACAAACACCGAACGGAAUAAAACAUUGUAAUACUAGGCUAACAAUUUAGGUUGGGGUGACCUCGGAGUAUAAAAAAUCCUCCGAGCAAUUAUAAGCUUAGACCCACCAGUCAAAGCCUAACCACUUAACUGAUCCAUACACAAUGAUCAACGGAAUAAGUUACCCUAGGGAUAACAGCGCAAUCCUAUUCAAGAGUUCCUAUCGACAAUAGGGUUUACGACCUCGAUGUUGGAUCAGGACAUCCUAAUGGUGCAGCAGCUAUUAAGGGUUCGUUUGUUCAACGAUUAAAGUCCUACGUGAUCUGAGUUCAGACCGGAGUAAUCCAGGUCGGUUUCUAUCUAUCCUACGUCUCUCCCAGUACGAAAGGACAAGAGAGACAGGGCCCCCUUAAAAUAAGCGCCCUCUAACAAAUCAGAUGACCUAAUCUCAAUCUGCUAUGUAAUAAAAUACCUUGCCCAAGACCAGGGCCCA
rnacentral:rRNA from 1 species